CCCACGCUGAGGGAGACCCGGGCUGCCUGCGGCUGGGCAGAGGAGGGAGUCUCAUCCAGUCGGGGUCUGGGACUCUACCUAUAAGAAAGAAAAGAAGUGUUAAGUUGAUGAAGCCAAGGGCCCAAGUUGGAGGGGAGAAGCUACUCAAUUGAGAGUCCAUCCAGAGGACAGACUAAGGACAAAACAUAAACAAAUGGCAUAGACAUAGAGGGUUACAAACAAAAGCCACCUUCAAGCAGAAGUGACCCCCCCCACCA